rnacentral:rRNA from 1 species
GACAGAGGGUGCAAACGUUGUUCGGAAUUACUGGGCGUAAAGCGCGUGUAGGCGGCUAAGUAAGUCGGGCGUGAAAUCCCACGGCUCAACCGUGGAAGUACACUCGAAACUGCAUAGCUAGAGUCCUGGAGAGGAAGGUGGAAUGCUUGGUGUAGAGGUGAAAUUCGUAGAUAUCAAGCGGAACACCGGUGGCGAAGGCGGCCUUCUGGACAGUGACUGACGCUGAGACGCGAAAGCGUGGGGAGCAAACAGG